rnacentral:rRNA from 1 species
GAGUUUGAUCGUGGCUCAGAACGAACGCUGGCGGCAGGCCUCAAACAUGCAAGUCUAGGGGGUGUAGCAAUACAUCACCGGCGGACGGGUGCGUAACACGUGGGAAUAUACCUUUUGGUUCGGAACAACGCAGGGAAACUUGCGCUAAUACCGAAUGUGCCCUUACGGGGAAAGAUUUAUCGCCAAAGGAUUAGCCCGCGUCCGAUUAGCUAGUUGGUGAGGUAAUGGCUCACCAAGGCUCCGAUCGGUAGCUGUUCUGAGAGGAAGAUCAGCCACACUGGGACUGAGACACGGCCCAGACUCCUACGGGAGGCAGCAGUGGGGAAUAUUGGACAAUGGGGGAAACCCUGAUCCAGCAAUGCCGCGUGUGUGAAGAAGGCC